UAUACCGUGAAACUGCGAAUGGCUCAUUAAAUCAGUUAUCGUUUAUUUGAUAAUACCUUACUACUUGGAUAACCGUGGUAAUUCUAGAGCUAAUACAUGCUGAAAAUCCCGACUUCGGAAGGGAUGUGUUUAUUAGAUAAAAAACCAAUGCCCUUCGGGGCUCCUUGGUGAUUCAUGAUAACUUUACGGAUCGCAUAGCCUUGCGCUGGCGACGGUUCAUUCAAAUUUCUGCCCUAUCAACUUUCGAUGGUAAGGUAUUGGCUUACCAUGGUUUCAACGGGUAACGGGGAAUUAGGGUUCGAUUCCGGAGAGGCAGCCUGAGAAACGGCUACCACAUCCAAGGAAGGCAGCAGGCGCGCAAAUUACCCAAUCCCGACACGGGGAGGUAGUGACAAUAAAUACUGAUACAGGGCUCUUUUGGGUCUUGUAAUUGGAAUGAGUACAAUUUAAACCUCUUAACGAGGAACAAUUGGAGGGCAAGUCUGGUGCCAGCAGCCGCGGUAAUUCCAGCUCCAAUAGCGUAUAUUAAAGUUGUUGCAGUUAAAAAGCUCGUAGUUGAAACUUGGGCCUGGCUGGCGGGUCCGCCUCACCGCGUGCACUCGUCCGGCCGGGCCUUCCUUCUGAAGAACCUCAUGCCCUUCACUGGGCGUGCUGGGGAAUCAGGACUUUUACUUUGAAAAAAUUAGAGUGUUCAAAGCAGGCCUUUGCUCGAAUACGUUAGCAUGGAAUAAUAAAAUAGGGCGUGCGUUUCUAUUUUGUUGGUUUCUAGAGACGCCGCAAUGAUUAACAGGAACAGUCGGGGGCAUCAGUAUUCAGUUGUCAGAGGUGAAAUUCUUGGAUUUACUGAAGACUAACUACUGCGAAAGCAUUUGCCAAGGAUGUUUUCAUUAAUCAGUGAACGAAAGUUAGGGGAUCGAAGACGAUCAGAUACCGUCGUAGUCUUAACCGUAAACUAUGCCGACUAGGGAUCGGGCGAUGUUCUUUUUCUGACUCGCUCGGCACCUUACGAGAAAUCAAAGU
rnacentral:rRNA from 1 species